GUGCUCGCUUCAGCGGCACAUAUACUAAACUUGGAACAAUACAGAAAAGAUUAGCGUGGCCCCUGCACAUGGAUGGCACCCAAACCUGUGUAUUAAAAAAAUACCAAUAUAU
ensembl:snRNA U6 U6 spliceosomal RNA